ensembl:lncRNA
CUUGCCUUACAUAAUGUUUUCACAUUACAUGGUGUCUGAUAGAUUUUCUCCCUCUUUUUAAAUGAAGGCUCUGCGGCUCUUUCAAGCCUUUUUGAAGGGGAAAAAGAACAUCGGGUUCCCUCUGCAGCUGUUGUGCUUCGGGAAAGCAACCUGUUUGAGAUGGCAGGUCGAAUGAUAGGCCAUUCCUUCCUGCAUGGUGGUUAUGGUGUGUCAGGAAUCAGUUUGCCUGUGGUGACCCUGUUGACUGGUGGGAGCACAAACACAGCAGUGUCAGCUCUGAGCCUGCUGGACUGUCCUGAUCUUGACCAUCGGGAAACAAUUGGUUUUCUGAAGAAUACAGAACUUACUGCAGCAGAAACCACCCGUGUGACUGAUCUUUGCCUGUCCUGGGAUCUCCCUGUUCCAACCUCAACCAAUCACGACUGGCUGUUCCAGGAACUGCUUUCACAUGCGGUAAUUCACUGUGUUAGGCUGCCUAUCAAGCAGAUCCGCAGAGGUCUUAAAGAGACAGGAAUCUGGCCGCUUCUUUCGAGUAGACCAGAUGUCGGACCCAUAAUCUUUCCGAGGGAGUCAAAUGAGGAGCUUAAGCCACAGGCUGUCAUCCAGAACAUCCACUGGCCACAACCCAAAUCUGACAGCGACGAGGAAGAGGAUGACCCUGUUCCAUUGGAGAAAGUCAGUCUCAUCACUGGAUUUUUGAGGAAAUUCAUAGAGGAAGCGUCACCAGAGGUGCUGCGUGACCUCAUGAGGUUCUGGGUUGGCUGGGAGCUGCCAGCAAAAAAGCUAUUUGUUGAAGUUGCAACCUCGACCUACCCGACGGCUUUUACCUGCUUCUACAAAUUGAAGCUCCCCGGCCACUACCAAACCUACCUGAUCUUUCGCCAGGAAAUGAUGAUGGCCAUCAGUUCUGUCAGUUCCGGAUUUGGUCUUGUGUAGUUUUAAAACCAGUUGAGUUAAAGAUUUUGUUGAGUUUGUUGAGUUAAAGAUUUUUUCAGAUGUUCAAGACGAUGUUCAAGAAUUUUAUAAACUGGAAGGCUGUUCAAAUGUAUAUUGAUUGACAAUCACCAAAUAAACAUUUUCCAUAAAAAUAUUAAUUUGAACUAGAAAAUAUGGGUUAUGUAGUAAUUUAUGCAGCUGAUUGAGUGAGUCACAUGGCAUGGAAGCUACUGAAGAAAAAUCCAUUUAUUAUAUAAAAACGUAAGAUAAUGACUAAGUCAGCAUCAUUUUGUCAACCACUUUCCAGACUGUACCAAUCUUGAGUUUUUAAUCCUUACUGAAAAUUAUAUUCUAUUUACUCAGUUAACAAUGUUUAACAAUGCAAUUUCAAAUUAUCUCAGAUAUAGAUUUUACAUUUUCAAGCAAAGCAAUUCAAAUACACACAAAUGCAAAAGAUUUCUGCCCAUAGAGGCUUUUCAAUAACAAGACAUAAGUCAGAGCUCAAGACAGGACUUAGUCUGUGGCAGACCUUAAAUCGUACGACGCCGAGCAUGUAAUUACCUAGCCUCCAACAGGUUCUCAACAUAUCGGACAGUGUUGAGAUAUAUGUCCACUCCGAAACAUGCAGACUCUUGCAAUGGAUCAAUGUUUUCUUGCAGCGGCAUUAUUUCAGGAUCCAAGAGAGGAAUGUCCAGCGUAGGGACAUUGACGCCUGAAUGAGGCUCAUUUGUGAAUCCACUCCUCCCAUUCAAUCUCUGGUAUGAGUAUACCCUGUCAAAGAAAUAUUGUGUAUAAACAUUCAAUAUCCAUUUAUCAUAGCACCCGUAAACAAGCUGUUUUUUUUUUUUAAAUAGGUUAGUUUGAUAGAAAAGGGGAUGCAACAAUCUAUCGAUCAUGGAAGAAUAUUAAAGGUGUGUUACAAGUAUAAGAAUUAAGUUAAGUUCCAUUUUUUUGCAACACAUUUACUUACUGUGGAAAUAUAAAAAUCAGUUCAAAUUAACGUUAAGCUCUUGUUAGUGUAAUACAUUGGCUUGGCUCUUCAUUCUGUAGCCGCGUUUACAUGGCACAUCUGAUCCGCAUAGAUUUCUAUCCGGCAUAGAUCUGUUCCUAAAAUGUGUUCCGAAUGUACUGUAUACGUUAUGUCUCUCGCGCACACCUGACACAUCUCUGGACCGGCGGCGACAUAAUGGAUGUAUCACUAUCGGGGAUUUUAAAUUUGAUUUUAAUGAAAGCACAGCAGGAGAGCUUUUCUCUGCCUGCUCCUUCAAUUAAGAAGGAGCAGGACAGCGCAGCAACGUCAAUUUCUCGUCAAAUCUUUAUAUUUACCCUAAGCUCCGCCGCAAACAAGAGGAAUUUGGAAUUGGGAGUCCGCAGCCAAGACUGGUGGGAGAGAGUGGUCUUACGGGAAUUUAGUGACCAGGAAUCCUCGAAGGUCCAAUUGCGCACUACUGCAGAUGCCAUCUCUCUAAGUUAAGAAGUAUUUUAACGUUCAGCCUGCAAAAGUACUAGUAGUAGCCUACUCAUUUACAGUUAUUUCGGACGCGCGCGGACACGUCAUUAAUAAACAUCCAUGUCCCGUCGCCAAGCAACCGGACACGCUUAACGGACUACUUUUACGGAGUGAUAACAGACGUGAAUCAGGCAAUAAAUCCACUUUCCUUGACAGCGGUGAAGUUCGGUGUGCUUAAAAGUACCGACGGAGCUCAGUGGACCAAUGGCGAACUACUGCGGCUGCUCUAAGUUUAACCCCAAUCUAUUCGGAAUAAGUGUAUACAUGGCGAUUAAAACGGACUACACCACCUCUUCUAUUCGGCAUAGAAUCUAUGCCGAACAGAUAAUUGUAUUCCGAAUGAGGCGUAUGCAUGAUCAUUUUCUGUUCCGCAUAGAAAUCUAUGCGGAACAGAUGUGUCC